UGAUCCUACUGGACUAGCGGGGACCAUUGGGCCCCUUACUCAGCAAAGCCAGCCCCCUGCCACUCCCAUGCAGCAGACUGACAUCAUUCUCCAGACAGCACCCCAGCAAACACAGCCCGAGCUGAUCCCACUGCAAACUAUUAUCCAGCAACAACAGAUGGGGAUGGAUCCACAGGCCUCCACCCUGCAGCUCCCACCAGUGCAGCAGCAGCAGCAAAUGGAGGCCCAGGCUACUCUGCUUCAACAAGUUAGUGCCGCUCAGCCGCUACCUGAACAUGGUCAACAGAGCCUUUCAGCAUCGGCUGCCCACAUGCAUCACCAUGAGGCUUUGCAGCAGACUGGUGUUAAGUGUGCUCUUCCUGCUCAGCCUCAGACGCCGGUCGCACCUCCACCAACAGGUAGGGAGCCAGCUCUGCUCAUACAGCAGCCCACAGAGCAGCCGCCCUUUACCCAGCACCAAUCAGGGGAACUACUAAAGCAGCCACCGCUUCAACCUUCACCCCUGUUUGUCCAGCCUGAACAACCGCCAGAGCACCAACAGCUACCAUAUCUCCCCCAACAGCUCGGUCAGCAAGAACAAAAAACUCUGCUUCAGCAACAAGCCCAUCUACAACAAGUAGAGCAGCAGCAAGCACAGAUCCACAAACAAUUACUGGAUCAAGCCCUGAUUAAACAGCAACAACACCAAGUGCUGGUGGCACCACAAACUCAGCCUGCUCAGCCCCCUCAAACCACACAGAUUUACUACCAACAGACACAAGAGCCAAAAAAUACACCUCUGAAUGAACAACUGGUACAACAACAACAUCAGAAAGAGCAAGAGCUUCAUCAACAGGCUCUGCUGCAGCAGCACUUCCACAAUCAGGUCCUUCUUCAGCAGCAGGAGCAGGCUCAGCUCCAGCAGCAGGCCUUACUCCACCAACAUCUGGAACAGCAGCGGCAGCAGCAGGCUCUGCUACAGCAGCAACAAGUGGAGAGGCAGACUCUCAUACAACAGCUCCAAGAACAGCAACAUGCUGCAAUUGUUCAAAUCCAACAAACAAUGAAGCAAGAGGUUGUUCCUGUUCAAACUAAUCAGCCGCAGGUUCAAUGUCAACCAACCAAUCUGCAGCAUGUCUGUGUGCCGCAUGUGCAGGCAUCCCAGGCGAUUCUCUCACAGCAUCAUGGUAUGGAGCAACAGCAGCAAGCAACUCAAAUCCAAACUCAGCAAAGCAUCUCACAGCCGCAACUCAUUUCCCC
rnacentral:lncRNA from 1 species